rnacentral:lncRNA from 1 species
CUCAGGUACAAGCUGUUCUCAGUUUGCUGACAAAGUCAAAGAAUUUAAAGGGAGAAAAAAACUUUUCCGAUCUCCUCAAACUUCUAUUAAUAGAAAGCCUUUUGUCACUGAAAAAGUACAGACACAAACAUACACACGAGAUUAUAGCACUUAAUAGAGGCAGAAAAGUUAAGAGAUAUGAAGCAUUUCAGCCAUCCUCAUGAUAUGCAAGUCAUAGAAAUUCCAAGCCAAACAAAAAAGCGCACAUGUUUCGCUUGUAAACUUCCUUUGAUUGGUUCUUGUUACACCUGUUCACGUUGCAAGUUUUACCUUCAUAAAUUCUGUUUUGAGUUGCCACAGUCUGCUCAAUUUAAAUCCCACCCUCAACACACUCUUGCCCUCCUCUAUCCUCUAUAUAUCCAAGGGGGAUGUGAAGCCUGUGGUGAAUCCUGCAAUGGAUUCACCUACAAUUGUUCAUUGUGUAAUUUCAAUUUUCAUGCCAAUUGUGCUAGUUUACUUGAAACUGAGCCCGAAAAUGAUGACGAGAGAUAUAUCACAAUUUUCUUGAGGCAUAAAGUAUCAGAACAGAAAAGUUCGAAAGCUGAACUUGGCUGGAUGAAAGCUCAGAAUCAGCAAUACGAGGAAGAACGAGCACGCAUAAGACGGAUGGAGAUGGAAUCAGAUUUGCAACGCAGAAUGCAAAACAUGUAUAAUCAACAGUUGAAGAGCAUGUCAGAUUCUAUCAAUUCCAUGGGACAAAUUGGAACAUCAAAUUAUACCUACAGAUAUUAUUGAAGAUUUAUCAACAUUAUUCUUACUUCUCGCUUUCUCAUUGGACCCCUUACGUUCUUUCCCUGUUGUUUCCAAUGUUUCUGUGUAUAAUUAGUCGAAUGUUUGGAUUUCUGAAGUUUGAAAUUUACCAGUUAUUUGUAUCACUUUUGAAUAUGUCUACAAUGUAUCUUCAUUUCAAAUAAGUAAUUGUAUGCUGUUUGCUAUGUAUCAUUCAUUGUAUCACCAAUAAAUGUUGUGUAUCUUGGAUUUUCACUUCUUCCAUAGCUUCUC